GCCUUCGUGGUGUAACGGUAGCGCACUUGGCGCGUAUUCGAGAGAUCCAGGUUCGAGUCCUGGCAAGGGCA
rnacentral:tRNA from 1 species